GCUGGAAUAGUUCAGUUGGCUAGAGCGUAUGGCUGUUAACCAUAAGGUCGGAGGUUCGAGCCCUCCUUCUAGCG
rnacentral:tRNA from 1 species